GAAUCUGCCUCAGGAGGAUUUUUGUAGGUUGUGUUUUCAGAGAUGGUGCCUUCUGGCAUAGCAGUUUCAAUGGAAGAGAGCAAAAAGUUUUCUAAAAU